rnacentral:rRNA from 1 species
GACGAACGCUGGCGGCGUGCCUAAUACAUGCGAGUUGAGCGAUGAAGCUUGGUGCUUGCCCCAAUUUGAAGAGCAGCGAACGGGUGAGUAACGCGUGGGGAAUCUGCCUUUGAGCGGGGGACAACAUUUGGAAACGAAUGCUAAUACCGCAUAACAACUUUAAACAUAAGUUUUAAGUUUGAAAGGUGCAAUUGCAUCACUCAAAGAUGAUCCCGCGUUGUAUUAGCUAGUUGGUGAGGUAAAGGCUCACCAAGGCGAUGAUACAUAGCCGACCUGAGAGGGUGAUCGGCCACAUUGGGACUGAGACACGGCCCAAACUCCUACGGGAGGCAGCAGUAGGGAAUCUUCGGCAAUGGACGAAAGUCUGACCGAGCAACGCCGCGUGAGUGAAGAAGGGUUUCGGAUCGUAAAACUCUGUUGGUAGAGAAGAACGUUGGUGAGAGUGGAAAGCUCAUCAAGUGACGGUAACUACCCAGAAAGGGACGGCUAACUACGUG